GGCCAAGGUAGGGGGGCGGUAAAUUAACUUAAAAGUCUGAGCCCAGUAACGGACUCGGUGGAAUUUCUGCGAGAAGAGGAGGGGGAGGCGCGAGCGAGAUCAUUGAAUAUUAAGCACGACCCCGCGCGGCGGCCGCAGCCAAACCCUCCUGGUGCAAUACCCAUUUUCUUUAUGAAAAGUUCAAGGUGUCACUGAUGAGCUCAACAAACUGUUGAUCCUGACCACGUGCAGUGGCGGACCGUGGGACCGAAGGGCGCGCUUGCAGGCCCGGCUCUGGCGGCACCCGGGCCCCGGGCCCCUCUGCGUGGGGCUGCGCGCGGGUGGGGCCGCUACGCGCCCCGGGCAUUGCGUGUGCCUUGGCCCGCCUGCAGGCUCCGGAAAAUAAGCAUAACGAUUUAAAAACUCUGUUGAGCGAGACGCAUUUUACUCCCGGAAUGAUCUUGAGAAGGCGGGGCGUAGGGAAGGGAAGGAGCCCCCACUUAUACAACGACUUGAAGUUAGAUCACUUUUGCCUGGGGAGAUUCCGGGAUUUCCGCCCGCGCUGGGUCUGAGGCUGGUUAAAGAUCCUCAAACUUUUUCCCUUAAGAGCUGAUAAACAAACAGACGCCCCAGGGGCCGACUUAAACUCUGGUAGAGCCCGCGUUCGCAGGAAUUCUCAGAUUCGAAGCAAUGCACACCCCUGCGGGGUUCGCAGGGAAGUCCCUGGGAAGCCAGGCGGGUCGCUUUCGGAAUUGGGACUCCGAUGUUCCAAGCCGGAGCGGAACUCUCACUGCGGACCCCCAGGCCCUCCCCCCCGCCCCCCCCCCGGCUCCCCUCGGCGCCUGAGAGCACAGGCGGCCGGGGAUCGCAGUGCCCUUCGCCCGCGGCCUUGGAACCGUGAACUUGCAUUCUGGCGCCGAGCUCCGGCCACAGUGCUCAGCUAAAGAGCUCUAAGAAAUUCGGGAUCCGAGCACACCUUGGAACCUCCCGCGGCAACCUGUCUGCGCCGCGCGUUCCUGCGCAGAUGGACCUUGUUUCCCCUGCGCUGGACUGUGGACGCUUGGGCAGCUCCCGGGCGGGGGCGAGGGGAUGCGGUGUGGGGGCUACUUUCGAAGCUCCGAGCGCAGCGAGUAAACAAAGGGAGCCUGGGGCUGGGAGGCUUUGCUGAGUCCCCGCCCGCGCUGCAGAUUAGCAGGCGCAGCGCGUCGGGGCUUCCCGGCCAGCUCUGCUCUAGGGAAUUAGAACGAACUCUAGCGGCCGUUUGCAACUCGGCUCUGGGCGCGAGGGCAUCAACAGGUGGCCGUGUGCAGCGGGUCCUGCUGCUAUGCUGUGAGAAGCCCAAGUUUCAUGGAGAAGCCACAUGGAACAAAAAUGAAGAUGAUAGGGACAAUAGCUCCAGCUGAGGUUCUGGUUAAUACACAGAUGUUAGCAAUCUUGGAUGCUCCAGCCUAAUUGAUCUCCCAGUUGACUCAAGCCUCACCUGACAUAAUAUAGAGCAAAACCAUCCAGCUCCAUUCAGUCAACCUACAGAAUCAUGAGAUGAUCAUAAAACUGUAGUUGUUUAACACUACUAAGUUUUGGGGUGGUUUAUUACACAGUGAUAGAUAACUAAAAGAG
rnacentral:lncRNA from 13 species